GCAACUUCUAGUGAAAGAUCAUAAGGUACCAUUACUUUUCCAGAGUAAACAGGGUAAUUCCAAUAGAGUAAGUUCUGCACAGCGAGUUUUGACUAUAUCUACAAGCCCUCCAUCAUUAUCUACACCACAAGUAACAAUUGAAACUCUUCCAUUCACUCCCUUAAGCUCUGCUGUCACUAAAGAGAAUUCCAACACCAGAAACAUGCUGAGUAGUUGGCAGACUGCGGAGAUAUUCUCCCAUACUGCUGUUUGUCUGGUCUACUUCAUCUGCACCAUCGCCGC